UACAGAGGUCUCAAGCGUUGUUCGGAUUCAUUGGGCGUAAAGGGUGCGUAGGUGGCGCUGUAAGUCGGGUGUGAAAUUUCGGAGCUUAACUCCGAAACUGCAUUCGAUACUGCGGUGCUUGAGGACUGGAGAGGAGACUGGAAUUCAUGGUGUAGCAGUGAAAUGCGUAGAGAUCAUGAGGAAGACCAGUGGCGAAGGCGGGUCUCUGGACAGUUCCUGACACUGAGGCACGAAGGCCAAGGGAGCAAACGGG
rnacentral:rRNA from 1 species